rnacentral:misc_RNA from 1 species
GAUGAAGAACGUAGUAAAAUGCGAUAAGUAAUGUGAAUUGCAGAAUUCAGUGAAUCAUCGAAUCUUUGAACGCACAUUGCGCCCGCCAGUGUUCUGGCGGGCAUGCCUGUUCGAGCGUCAUUUCAACCCUCAAGCACAGCUUGGUGUUGGGACUCGCGUUAAUUCGCGUUCCCCAAAUUGAUUGGCGGUCACGUCGAGCUUCCAUAGCGUAGUAGUAAAACCCUCGUUACUGGUAAUCGCCGCGGCCACGCCGUUAAACCCCAACUUCUGAAUGUUGACCUCGGAUCAGGUAGGAAUACCCGCUGAACUUAAGCAUAUCAAUAAGCGGAGGA